CAGUUCGGAUUGAAGGCUGAAAUUCGCCUUCCAUGAAGCCGGAAUUGCUAGUAAUGGCAGGUCAGCAUACUGCCGUGAAUACGUUCCCGGGCCUUGUACACACCGCCCGUCACACCAUGAGAGUUGGGAAUACCCGAAGCCUGUGAGCUAACGUUAAGAGGCAGCAGUCGAAGGUAGAAUCAAUGAUUGGGGUGAAGUCGUAACAAGGUAUC
rnacentral:rRNA from 1 species